UUUUGAAAUUUUAAAAAAGAUUUGAUAUUUAAAUCAAUUCUGUGUCUGUCAAUUUAAUACUUACUGAAUUAUUUAACACUUUUCUUAUGUUAAAUAAUGAAUAUUUCGGGAGGUCAGCCAAGUAUCCCUUGGAAUGAAAGAUCAAGUAGUGAAAAAAAGAAGAUUAUCGGAGGAGUUUUUCUUAUAGUAUUUUGUUUGAUUAAAAUUGUUUUGAUUGUUGUUUAUUUUGGAGUUAUAAGAAGAGAAGCUAAUUGUAAAUCAAAUUGCUAAUGAAUUGUGUGACAAUGCAAACAAAUCUUCAAAUUAAUAAUAAAUUAUUAAGCUAA